GGACCCUGGAGUCAGGCUGGGGAGUAUACCGAAGGAGGAACUUGAGGCAGCGAAGGCAGAGCGACGAUACUACGAGGCGUUAUAUGCACCGAAAGGCAAGUGUGAGAGGCAGCCCAAAAAAUAUUUUUUGGGGAGGGCACAUGGGGAGGUUUGCUAAGUCAGGAUGGAGACCUGAGCCAACUCCCCGUGCUUACCGUGAGGAGCGGGUGACGAGGAAAGCACCGAGCUAUGCGGAAAUGCGCAGUGUAUCACCCAUACGCACGCACAGUCCGGUGCGAUUGGUACGGGCUCCGCAGCGUUGCCAUGCUAGAGUUGGCACUCAGCCAGGAAGGAGUGUGCCUGCUCAGUGCAUCUGGCCGCCAGUGAGUCUCCUCGGCCCAGCUUCUCCUGCGCCUGCUCUAUGCACGGCAGCCCUCAUUCCCCAACACAGCCCAGUUUGCCCUGUGCCAGCGCUCCGCCCGUGCCGGGCUACAGUGACCAUCCAGCCAGGACGGGUUGUGCAGGCCAUGCACUCCAGACCUCCAGUGCGCCUCCAAGACCCAGUGUACCCUGUGCCUGCUCCGCGCACUCUACCUCCAGUGCGCCGCCAUAGCCCAGUACGCCCUGUUCCUGCUCCCCGCACUAGCCUGAAGGUGUGUGUGACUAGCCUGGCGCCUCAUAUACCAGUCCCCCGUAGCAGACCUCCAGUGCGUCACCAGAGCCCGGUACAUCCUGUUCCUGCUCCCCGCACUAGCCUGAAGGUGUGUGUGACUAGCCUGGCGCCUCCUAUGCCAGCUCCACGUAGCAGACCUCCAGUGCGCCACCAUAGCCCGGUAAGGCCGGUGCCUGCUGUGAGCACGCGGUCCGGAGUACGUCUCCCCAGUCCGGUGAGACCAGUUCCAGCGCCCCGAAGGAAGCCUCUAAUGAUGGUCAAUGGUCCGACAUCUCCAGCGAUAAUCCAUGGCAUGAAGCCUCCAGUGAUGAUCCAUGGCCCGGAGCCUGUAGUGUUAAUCCCUGGCACGAAGCCUCCAGUGAUGAUCCAUGGCCCGGAGCCCGUAGGGAUGAUCCAAGGCACGAAGCCUCCAGUGAUGAUCCAUGGUCCGGAGCUUGUAGGGAUGAUCCAUGGCACAAAGCCUCCAGUGAUAACCCAUGGCCCGGACCUCCAGUGAUAACCCAUGGCCCGGACCUCCAGUGAUGAUCCAUGGCACAAAGCCUCCAGUGAUAACCCAUGGCCCGGACCUCCAGUGAUAA
rnacentral:lncRNA from 8 species